rnacentral:tRNA from 1 species
CAGCAAGUAGCGCAGACUGGGAGAGCACUUGGUUUGGGACCAAGGGGUCGCAGGUUCGAAUCCUGUCUUCCCGA